rnacentral:rRNA from 1 species
AGGGAAUCUUCCACAAUGGACGCAAGUCUGAUGGAGCAACGCCGCGUGAGUGAAGAAGGUCUUCGGAUCGUAAAGCUCUGUUGUUGGUGAAGAAGGAUAGAGGCAGUAACUGGUCUUUAUUUGACGGUAAUCAACCAGAAAGUCACGGCUAACUACGUGCCAGCAGCCGCGGUAAUACGUAGGUGGCAAGCGUUGUCCGGAUUUAUUGGGCGUAAAGCGAGCGCAGGCGGAAUGAUAAGUCUGAUGUGAAAGCCCACGGCUCAACCGUGGAACUGCAUCGGAAACUGUCAUUCUUGAGUGCAGAAGAGGAGAGUGGAACUCCAUGUGUAGCGGUGGAAUGCGUAGAUAUAUGGAAGAACACCAGUGGCGAAGGCGGCUCUCUGGUCUGCAACUGACGCUGAGGCUCGAAAGCAUGGGUAGCGAACAGGAUUAGAUACCCUGGUAGUCCAUGCCGUAAACGAUGAGCGCUAGGUGUUGGGGACUUUCCGGUCCUCAGUGCCGCAGCAAACGCAUUAAGCGCUCCGCCUGGGGAGUACGACCGCAAGUUGAAAC